CGUCGGCCCACAAUGGCACUGCAUGAAUUCACGGCCGAACCCCGUGCAUCCAUCGGUACCAUGCCGGGCCGCCGACG
rnacentral:pre_miRNA from 1 species